UCCAGAGGUGGCAAGCGUUGUUCGGAAUUACUGGGCGUAAAGGGCGCGUAGGUGGCCUUCUUAGUCAGACGUGAAAUCCCCGGGCUUAACCUGGGAACUGCACUUGUGACUGCACAGCUGGAGUACGGCAGAGGGGGAUGGAAUUCCGCGUGUAGCAGUGAAAUGCGUAGAUAUGCGGAGGAACACCGAUGGCGAAGGCAGUCCCCUGGGCCUGUACUGACGCUCAUGCACGAAAGCGUGGGGAGCAAACAGG
rnacentral:rRNA from 1 species